rnacentral:rRNA from 1 species
GAUGAACGCUGGCGGCGUGCCUAAUACAUGCAAGUCGAGCGAACAGACGAGGAGCUUGCUCCUUUGACGUUAGCGGCGGACGGGUGAGUAACACGUGGAUAACCUACCUAUAAGACUGGGAUAACUUCGGGAAACCGGAGCUAAUACCGGAUAACAUGUUGAACCGCAUGGUUCAACAGUGAAAGACGGUCUUGCUGUCACUAAUAGAUGGAUCCGAGCCGUAUUAGCUAGUUGGUAAGGUAACGGCUUACCAAGGCAACGAUGCGUAGCCGACCUGAGAGGGUGAUCGGCCACACUGGAACUGAGACACGGUCCAGACUCCUACGGGAGGCAGCAGUAGGGAAUCUUCCGCAAUGGGCGAAAGCCUGACGGAGCAACGCCGCGUGAGUGAAGAAGGUCUUCGGAUCGUAAAACUCUGUUAUUAGGGAAGAACAAAUGUGGAAGUAACUAUGCACGUCUUGACGGUACCUAAUCAGAAAGCCACGGCUAACUACGUG